ACAGAGGGUGCAAGCGUUAAUCGGAAUUACUGGGCGUAAAGCGCGCGUAGGUGGUUCGUUAAGUUGGAUGUGAAAGCCCCGGGCUCAACCUGGGAACUGCAUUCAAAACUGUCGAGCUAGAGUAUGGUAGAGGGUGGUGGAAUUUCCUGUGUAGCGGUGAAAUGCGUAGAUAUGUGGAGGAAUACCGAUGGCGAAGGCAGCCCCCUGGGAUAACACUGACGCUCAUGCACGAGAGCGUGGGGAGCAAACAGGA
rnacentral:rRNA from 1 species